rnacentral:rRNA from 1 species
UUGCGUGGCGGCAGGCUUACCAUGCAAGUCGUACGGUGGACAGCCAGCAGCUUGCUUCUUCGCUGACGAGUGGCGGACGGGUGAGUAAUGUCUGGGAAACUGCCUGAUGGAGGGGGAUAACUACUGGAAACGGUAGCUAAUACCGCAUAACGUCGCAAGACCAAAGAGGGGGACCUUCGGGCCUCUUGCCAUCGGAUGUGCCCAGAUGGGAUUAGCUAGUAGGUGGGGUAACGGCUCACCUAGGCGACGAUCCCUAGCUGGUCUGAGAGGAUGACCAGCCACACUGGAACUGAGACACGGUCCAGACUCCUACGGGAGGCAGCAGUGGGGAAUAUUGCACAAUGGGCGCAAGCCUGAUGCAGCCAUGCCGCGUGUAUGAAGAAGGCCUUCGGGUUGUAAAGUACUUUCAGCGGGGAGGAAGGGAGUAAAGUUAAUACCUUUGCUCAUUGACGUUACCCGCAGAAGAAGCACCGGCUAACUCCGUGCCAGCAGCCGCGGUAAUACGGAGGGUGCAAGCGUUAAUCGGAAUUACUGGGCGUAAAGCGCACGCAGGCGGUUUGUUAAGUCAGAUGUGAAAUCCCCGGGCUCAACCUGGGAACUGCAUCUGAUACUGGCAAGCUUGAGUCUCGUAGAGGGGGGUAGAAUUCCAGGUGUAGCGGUGAAAUGCGUAGAGAUCUGGAGGAAUACCGGUGGCGAAGGCGGCCCCCUGGACGAAGACUGACGCUCAGGUGCGAAAGCG